GGCGCAUUAACCAAAUAAAUAGGUCAACCAGAAAAGGUUUGCCAUAAAGAAGAAACGGGGUGAUGUGAAGGUGAUUCGGGCGGGAGGUGAGUGUGAAGGGAUUGUCGAGGAAGCCUCCCGGAGAAGGUGAUAUUUCAGCUGAGACCCAAAUAGAAAGGAGCCAGCCGUGGGGAAGAUCUGGGGAGAGGGUCCUUGUUGGAGGGAACAGGAGGAGCC
rnacentral:lncRNA from 1 species